rnacentral:lncRNA from 1 species
CUGGAGGAUGGAACUAGGAAAGAAAUAGGGAAUUAAGGAGAGAUGGUACCAAUCUGUGCCUUUGUCCCUGUGUUAUUUAAUUCACAAAUAUUUCUUGGUCUUCUGUCCUCUAUUGGACACUAGGAACACAUAGAUAAAUGAGUCAUGGUCCUUUUACCUAAAAGCACUUAUAUCUGCUGGAAAUGUAUUACACCAUCUCUCAUCACAGCAAAUCAUGAGGACCUUGUGAUGUUCUGGAUUUCUUUGUCCCUUUCAAUGAUCUACUUUUCAGAUGAACUGGCACUGUGGUCUUCUUGCUUGAGCAGAUGUGCUCUGGUUUCCUGGAGCUGCAUGGCCCAUGUCUACCCAUCCAACCAUGACAAUCCAAGCCUGGGCCAUAGGCUGCUCCCUACUGUUCUGCUACAGGGAGAAGAAAAGAGACAGAAGGUUCACAGUGAUUUUGGCAAACAAGUGUGGUAUAUGUUGCCAAACUGGAGACAAAGGUUCCUGCCUCUCUUACAAGCUCUUCAAUUAAGUCCUUGAAAAUCAAACAAGGUGAGCAAAAGUGAUGAAAAAUAAAUGACAGAGAUACCUAACAAGCUGAAGGGAGGAGUUGUUCACUUGUUUAUGCAACAUAUAUUUGAGUGCCAGGAGCUGGGUAAGGUGUUAGGGGCCUAAGACAGAUAAGACUUGCUGCCUGCCCUGGAAGAAUCUACAGACUUUAGAGAAGAGGCUGUGCUAACCAUAGAGGAGGACAGGCUGACUGGACAGGCUAACCAGAAGGGAG